UGUGUGUUCUUCCACACUCUAUCUUGUGUCAGUUAAUAGUUAACGGCAACAGAGCAGAGUUGUCGUGGCACCACGACCUAGACACCUGGCACGUUCUGAGCGCCCUCCAACCCGGGCACCCCGGAUCAGCUGACUCACCAUGGGAAACUAUAUAUGUGGUACACUGAGGAAGAAGAAAAAUAAAGAUGGAGAUGACAGUGAUGAUCAGAGCAGCCCAGACACAGAAAAGAAGGAAGAGGAUGUGACAUACGCCACCAUUGACCAUAGCAACACCAAGACAACAGGUGUCAUAAUAGAUUCUCACACUAACGACUGUGACUACGCCAUUGUUAAACCUCCAACUUGCCUCGCCCACCAGUCGUUAAUUAAAGAAGACUGUGCAGAUGACUAUGUCUUCAUGGGCUGACCUCAUGUACAAUGUGUGUGUGUGUGUGGGGGGGGACAUUUUGAAGGGGGACAAUGGAGAUGCAAGGUGGACAUAGGCCUGGGGCAAGCUGGACAGCACCUUCCUGGACCAAAAUACCCUAGAUGUGACUAUGAUAGCGCCCACAAAUGGAACUUUUCUUGAUGCAGUGUGGUUGCAGGAAUUAUGUGCUUCUAUAGUUAUGUUUAAUUAUGUUUUACAGUCACAUUAUGCUUAUGUUAAUGUUUACAUUUUUUUCCCUAAGAGAAACGGAUGCUUUAGUUCAAACUUUCUAUGUGGUUUAUUUGGCCUCUUGACAGAGGGAACAUACAGGCCAGAGAUUCAAAGGCUAUAGCUAUCAUACUGACCCCUGAGAUACAACUACCAACCACACCACACACACACCCUGGGAGAGAUGAGAUGUUUAUGGUUUGCGAUAGAAUUAUGUGUUUGAAUUUUAUGCAAAAUAUUUUCUUUGCACAAAUCUAUUUGAAUGAGAUACAGUAAGGUGAGAGCGGGAUUGGAGAUACUGUUGUUUUGUGAACCGGUCUUAGCUGUUUCUCAAAAUCACCAGGAACUGUUGUAUCCUAUCAAUGAUGGAUGCAAAGAUGGAUUAAAUCAACAUCGUUAGAACUUUUGUAUCCUUACAUUUAUAACAUCAAUGGCAACAAUCAACGGCAGACAAUUUUCUGCAACUUCAAGAUUGAAUCAAUUAAUAUUUUGGGGCUUCUUUAAUACUAAAGAGAAGAAGACAAAGAGUAACUGUCAAAGACGUAAAUAGCCAAUAAUGUGGAUCCUUAGCAGGUAAAAAAUAGAACCUCUGUCAAAAUAGAUCAAUUUAGCUCCCUAUUUAGUCAGCAUUAAUCACAAAUCACAUAAUAGCCUACAGCUUAAGUAUGUUAACCAAAACAUGUUUCAAUUCAAGGUCCAUGCUCAUCAAAAUGGAUCAUAUGGACUGAUAAUCAGCAGGUGAUUGUUUCAAAUCCUAGAUUUCCACCAUGGACGUUGUUUCUCCGAUCAUCACUCAUCGUCACUUGGGUAAGGGACAUUUAAGGUACACUCGGAUGUGAAGAUGUAAAACUUAAUUCAAGAGCUGAGGGCUGUCUACUUUGAAUUUGGAAUGCAGCCCUUAACACACCCUCUUUCUCAUAAAAUUAGUUCACCUAUAUUCUCCAGCAGAGGGUGCACAUCCCCUGCUUUAUGGAAAGCACUCAACAGUAUGCCAACGAUAUUGAUAACUAACCCAAGAUAGUUCAUCUGUGUUGUUUACAGUGGGAGCAAAUUAUACAUAGUGGGCAGAAUAAGCAAUGAGGUGGACAAAGUCAUGCACGAGCUAGCGAGAUCCUACUGGUGCAUUGUAGCAUGUAUUUGCAUAUUUCCAUUAGGGAAUGCCUCCAUUGUGAAGUGUGUGUGGGUGCAAACCCAAUUCGACCCAGCACUCCUUUUAAAACAACGCAAUUUACAAAAAACUUUGACAGAACGUCAAGUCUAUUAAACUUAGUGCACUGUGUUCAUAACAUAUUCUAGUUUUAGGAACAGAAAGAUGUUUCAUCAAUGAGAACAUUUGCAGAAUGUCGGCCCAGUUUCAGUUAGUUCCAACCUCCCUCACAAUCCGUGACUGGACUUCCUCUCACUCACAUAUUUGGUGAUGAGAAAACUUUCUAGACAGAUGUUUCAGAUUUAUAGCCCCUAUGUUGUGUCUGGGGUACCCCAUUCUGUCUGUGAGUAUACUGUAUCAUGUCACAUCCUAUGAAAUUGACCAAUACAAACAAAC
ensembl:lncRNA